rnacentral:lncRNA from 1 species
GGGCCUGUUGGUAAUUCAGUCAAAUUAUUGUUUGGAUCUGAGGGUGUUCGUCUUUCUGUUUCAAAAUUUGCAAAGGAGUAGGUCCGGUAAGGACCGAUUUUGGUCUCAAAUUUCAGUUUCAUCUGACGAAAGAUUUUGACCACUUUUUAAACACUUAAGUGUCUAUUUCAUAUGAUUCAAUUAAUUUAUGUGAAAGAUUUUAACUUAUUCAGUCAUUCAAAACGAUCUGAUUCAAGCUCAAAUAUGAAAAAUCUACCAAAUAUGCUAAAAAAUG